GAUGAACGCUGGCGGCGUGCCUAAUACAUGCAAGUCGAGCGAACGGACGAGAAGCUUGCUUCUCUGAUGUUAGCGGCGGACGGGUGAGUAACACGUGGAUAACCUACCUAUAAGACUGGGAUAACUUCGGGAAACCGUAGCUAAUACCGGAUAAUAUUUUGAACCGCAUGGUUCAAAAGUGAAAGACGGUCUUGCUGUCACUUAUAGAUGGAUCCGCGCUGCAUUAGCUAGUUGGUAAGGUAACGGCUUACCAAGGCAACGAUGCAUAGCCGACCUGAGAGGGUGAUCGGCCACACUGGAACUGAGACACGGUCCAGACUCCUACGGGAGGCAGCAGUAGGGAAUCGUCCGCAAUGGGCGAAAGCCUGACGGAGCAACGCCGCGUGAGUGAUGAAGGUCUUCGGAUCGGAAAACUCUGUUAUUAGGGAAGAACAUAUGUGUAAGUAACUGUGCACAUCUUGACGGUACCUAAUCAGAAAGCCACGGCUAACUACGUG
rnacentral:rRNA from 1 species